rnacentral:rRNA from 1 species
GUGAACGCUGGCGGUAGGCCUAACACAUGCAAGUCGAACGGCAGCACAGUAAGAGCUUGCUCUUACGGGUGGCGAGUGGCGGACGGGUGAGGAAUACAUCGGAAUCUACUUUUUCGUGGGGGAUAACGUAGGGAAACUUACGCUAAUACCGCAUACGACCUACGGGUGAAAGCAGGGGAUCUUCGGACCUUGCGCGAUUGAAUGAGCCGAUGUCGGAUUAGCUAGUUGGCGGGGUAAAGGCCCACCAAGGCGACGAUCCGUAGCUGGUCUGAGAGGAUGAUCAGCCACACUGGAACUGAGACACGGUCCAGACUCCUACGGGAGGCAGCAGUGGGGAAUAUUGGACAAUGGGCGCAAGCCUGAUCCAGCCAUACCGCGUGGGUGAAGAAGGCCUUCGGGUUGUAAAGCCCUUUUGUUGGGAAAGAAAAGUAGCAGGUUAAUACCCCGCUGUUCUGACGGUACCCAAAGAAUAAGCACCGGCUAACUUCGUG